AAUUAUAUUAUGGCUCCAAAUAUGAUGAUUUCUCUUCUCCUUUUGUUGGUUUUCUCAAGUGGUGUUGUGGAACCAAGGAAUGUUGCGUUUGUGCAUUGCAACAAUGACAAUGAUUGUGAUUUUAUUUGUAGAAAUGAUUUUAAUAAGUUUGAACCAUUUUGCCACAAACACCUAUGUGUUUGUGACAAACGUCGUUUCUGCACAAAAGAUCUUUAUUGUCGUCUAACCUUUCCCUGUUAUGAUAAAGAUUCUGAAUGUAUUGCUUACACAUGUCAAUGCCCUCUCAACCCGCCGAUGAAUGCAUAAUCAAUAUAUAUAUUGUGUAUAUUUCGAUCAUACUGAUAAAUAAAGUUGGUCGAAUUAUACGUAUUGUUAAGUACUAUUUUGAAAAGAAUCAAGUGACUUGUGACCUACAAAUUAAUAAUAUAAAUGUAAGUUUGUCAUAAGAUAUACUUUUUAUUUUAAUUUAUUAUGUGUUUACUAGUGA